rnacentral:rRNA from 1 species
ACGAGUGGCGGACGGGUGAGUAACACGUGGGUAACCUGCCCUUAAGUGGGGGAUAACAUUUGGAAACAGAUGCUAAUACCGCAUAGAUCCAAGAACCGCAUGGUUCUUGGCUGAAAGAUGGCGUAAGCUAUCGCUUUUGGAUGGACCCGCGGCGUAUUAGCUAGUUGGUGAGGUAAUGGCUCACCAAGGCGAUGAUACGUAGCCGAACUGAGAGGUUGAUCGGCCACAUUGGGACUGAGACACGGCCCAAACUCCUACGGGAGGCAGCAGUAGGGAAUCUUCCACAAUGGACGCAAGUCUGAUGGAGCAACGCCGCGUGAGUGAAGAAGGCUUUCGGGUCGUAAAACUCUGUUGUUGGAGAAGAAUGGUCGGCAGAGUAACUGUUGUCGGCGUGACGGUAUCCAACCAGAAAGCCACGGCUAACUACGUGCCAGCAGCCGCGGUAAUACGUAGGUGGCAAGCGUUAUCCGGAUUUAUUGGGCGUAAAGCGAGCGCAGGCGGUUUUUUAAGUCUGAUGUGAAAGCCCUCGGCUUAACCGAGGAAGCGCAUCGGAAACUGGGAAACUUGAGUGCAGAAGAGGACAGUGGAACUCCAUGUGUAGCGGUGAAAUGCGUAGAUAUAUGGAAGAACACCAGUGGCGAAGGCGGCUGUCUGGUCUGUAACUGACGCUGAGGCUCGAAAGCAUGGGUAGCGAACAGGAUUAGAUACCCUGGUAGUCCAUGCCGUAAACGAUGAAUGCUAGGUGUUGGAGGGUUUCCGCCCUUCAGUGCCGCAGCUAACGCAUUAAGCAUUCCGCCUGGGGAGUACGACCGCAAGGUUGAAACUCAAAGGAAUUGACGGGGGCCCGCACAAGCGGUGGAGCAUGUGGUUUAAUUCGAAGCAACGCGAAGAACCUUACCAGGUCUUGACAUCUUUUGAUCACCUGAGAGAUCAGGCUUCCCCUUCGGGGGCAAAAUGACAGGUGGUGCAUGGUUGUCGUCAGCUCGUGUCGUGAGAUGUUGGGUUAAGUCCCGCAACGAGCGCAACCCUUAUGACUAGUUGCCAGCAUUUAGUUGGGCACUCUAGUAAGACUGCCGGUGACAAACCGGAGGAAGGUGGGGAUGACGUCAAAUCAUCAUGCCCCUUAUGACCUGGGCUACACACGUGCUACAAUGGAUGGUACAACGAGUUGCGAGACCGCGAGGUCAAGCUAAUCUCUUAAAGCCAUUCUCAGUUCGGACUGUAGGCUGCAACUCGCCUACACGAAGUCGGAAUCGCUAGUAAUCGCGGAUCAGCACGCCGCGGUGAAUACGUUCCCGGGCCUUGUACACACCGCCCGUCACACCAUGAGAGUUUGUAACACCCGAAGCCGGUGGCGUAACCCUUUUAGGGAGCGAGCCGUCUAAG